rnacentral:tRNA from 1 species
UGGCUCAAUUGGUAGAGCAUGGUGUUUGCAACGCCAGGGUUGUGGGUUCGUUUCCCAC